GAUCUCAACUAAUUGCUAGAUGGAACUAAGAGAUGAGAGCUUGGCCUCUCAUGAGUAAUUUUGGCUUCUCAUAUUAUCAUCAUAAAUUUACUGAAUGUAUUAACAAAAUGCUUUGCAUGAGCAAUGGUCAAAAAGGUCUAUGUUUCCUUGUGUUUUGGAGACAUUGAUCAAGAAUUUCUUCCUGUCCUUCACGAGACGAUACUUCCUUUGUCGUUGGUAGAAGAUUGCAUCUCGAUCCCAAAGAUAUGAC
rnacentral:lncRNA from 1 species